rnacentral:ribozyme from 1 species
UUUUUUUUUUUUUUUUUUUUUUUUUUUUUUUUUUUUUUUUUUUUUUCAAGACAGCAGGGA